UCAUCUCUCAAACCAUCCCUUCUGCUUUUUCCCCCCCUUUGAAAUUUCAAAUUCCAGUUUGUGGACAAAGUCCUACCUAUCUGAGAAUAUAGAUCUCCGACCACUGACCAAACUCCAUUCCAAGUGACAACUUAGUUAUGCUUUUUCCCAGGCUCUGACAUUCAAUGUUUGGAACUACUGGGGAGAUUGUAGAUCAGCUCGCCUCGGCCUGAACUGCUCUUGCACCUUGAGAGAAUGGAUUCUGGCUAUUUGUGUGACCAUUGGGAAGAGGAUUCCUUCUGAUUGCCAGUAACAAAGCAGAACUGGUGUCCCCAAAGCUGGCAUCAUGGAAAUAUGCUGAGGGUGGAUGAUAUUGGGAGACAGACACAGAAGUGAGAAAAAGUCAGGCUGAUGUCAACAUCUAAGGAAGCAAUAAAGGAACAGAACUGGAAGACCAGAAACAAGCCUAUGUGACAAAAGAUCCAAA